UGGACGAGAGUCUGAACCAGCCAAAUCGCGUGAAGGAAGACUGCCUUAUGGGUUGUAAACUUCUUUUAUACAGGAAUAAAAAGAGUUACGUGUAACUUAUUGCAUGUACUGUAUGAAUAAGCAUCGGCUAACUCCGUGCCAGCAGCCGCGGUAAUACGGAGGAUGCGAGCGUUAUCCGGAUUUAUUGGGUUUAAAGGGUGCGCAGGCGGGAUCUUAAGUCAGCGGUGAAAUUUUCAGGCUCAACCUGAACACUGCCGUUGAAACUGGGAUUCUUGAGUAUAGAUGAAGUAGGCGGAAUUCGUUGUGUAGCGGUGACAUGCUUAGAUAUAACGAGGAACUCCAAUUGCGUAGGCAGCUUACUAAGCUAUAACUGACGCUCAAGCACGAAAGCGUGGGGAUCAAACAGGAUUAGAUACCCUGGUAGUCCACGCCGUAAACGAUGAUUACUAGUUGUUUGUGAUAUAUUAUAAGUGACUAAGCGAAAGCGAUAAGUAAUCCACCUGGGGAGUACG
rnacentral:rRNA from 1 species